UACAGAGGUGGCAAGCGUUGUUCGGAAUUACUGGGCGUAAAGGGCGCGUAGGCGGCCUGUUAAGUCGAACGUGAAAUCCCCGGGCUCAACCCGGGAACUGCGUCCGAUACUGGCAGGCUUGAAUCCGGGAGAGGGAUGCGGAAUUCCAGGUGUAGCGGUGAAAUGCGUAGAUAUCUGGAGGAACACCGGGUGGCGAAGGCGGCAUCCUGGACCAUAACUGACGCUGAGGCGCGAAAGCUAGGGGAGCAAACGGG
rnacentral:rRNA from 1 species